GCAACAUAGUGAGACCUCGUCUCUGAAAAAAAAAAAGGCAGUGUAAAUAUUAUUAUGUAUUGAAGGAUCACAGUAUAGUGCUUUGCUGUUGAUGAUUGGAAAGGAAAAUACCGCCUCUCUGCGCUCUACCACCCGCCGCUGUCUGUAUUCCUAAGCCCAGGCUGGAGCUCCUCUCAGGGUACUUCUCCCCAUCACGACUGGCUCUUUUCUGUUCUGGCAGAUGCUUUUCUCAUUGACUGGUUGACCCAGAGGUGGUGCUGUAGUAUCUCUCACAGUUUCUCUAUUCCUCAGCCACACUUCUGUAAAUGGCCUUUUUAUUAACUCAUGUCAACUUACCCUCAUCUGAGCAUGUCCUCUUUUCUCCUGUUGGGUCACUGUUUGACACAUAAGGUUUAAGUAACCAAGAGGAAAUGACUUCUGUAAAUAAGAAAAGAUUUUAUUAAAUGCUGUGCAAUAUGCAGACUUUCUUUAAAACAUUAGGCAAUACAGUAACAAAAAGAUGGAAAACAGGAGAAAGAAAGAGUGGAGUUGGGGAAGAGAAGUAAAGAAAGAGGGGAAAGGGCCGGGCCUGGUGGCUUACGCCUGUAAUCCCAGCACUUUGGGAGGCUGAGGCAGGCGGAUCACCUGAGGUCAGGAGUUCGAGACCAGCCUGGCCAACAUGGUGAAACCCCGUCUCUACCGACAAUGCAAAAAAUUAGCUAGACAUGGAUGGUGGUGGGUGCCUGUAAUCCCAGCUACUUGGGAAGCCAAGGCACGAGAAUUGCUUGAACCUGGGAGGUGGAGGUUACAGUGAGCCGAGAUCGUGCCACUGCACUCUGGCCUGGGUGACAGAUUACGACUAUCUAAAGAAAAAAAAAAGAAGAAGAAGAAAAAGAAAGAAAGGAAGAAAGAAGGGGAGGAGGAGGAGAAGAAGGAAGGAAAGAAGGAAGGAAGAGGAAGGAAGGAAGAAGGGAAGGGUAAACGAAUAUUACAAGUCUUGGCUUUUUCAGCACUGGAGGGAUUCUGAAGUCCUAAAGCAGCUGACAGAGGUGAAGGUCAUCAGAUACAGAAGACAUCCUGAGGCCAGCUCCCAUCCACUGACUGCCCUCUGCAGCCUGGAUUCCUGCCUCAGCUUAUACCUGCGGAAGAUGGAACACCUGAAGAAAGACCGCCAGCUCCUUCUCUCCCCAGGACUCCAGGAGACAGAAACUUAAUAGCAGGAGACCAGGUAAUAAACACUGGUGCAGUUACA
rnacentral:lncRNA from 13 species